CAGCCGGGUAGCUCGGAGGUCGUGGCGCUGGGGGCUAGCACCAGCGCUCUGUCGGGAGGCGCAGCGGUUAGGUGGACCGGUCAGCGGACUCACCGGCCAGGGCGCUCGGUGCUGGAAUUUGAUAUUCAUUGAUCCGGGUUUUAUCCCUCUUCUUUUUUCUUAAACAUUUUUUUUUAAAACUGUAUUGUUUCUCGUUUUAAUUUAUUUUUGCUUGCCAUUCCCCACUUGAAUCGGGCCGACGGCUUGGGGAGAUUGCUCUACUUCCCCAAAUCACUGUGGAUUUUGGAAACCAGCAGAAAGAGGAAAGAGGUAGCAAGAGCUCCAGAGAGAAGUCGAGGAAGAGAGAGACGGGGUCAGAGAGAGCGCGCGGGCGUGCGAGCAGCGAAAGCGACAGGGGCAAAGUGAGUGACCUGCUUUUGGGGGUGACCGCCGGAGCGCGGCGUGAGCCCUCCCCCUUGGGAUCCCGCAGCUGACCAGUCGCGCUGACGGACAGACAGACAGACACCGCCCCCAGCCCCAGCUACCACCUCCUCCCCGGCCGGCGGCGGACAGUGGACGCGGCGGCGAGCCGCGGGCAGGGGCCGGAGCCCGCGCCCGGAGGCGGGGUGGAGGGGGUCGGGGCUCGCGGCGUCGCACUGAAACUUUUCGUCCAACUUCUGGGCUGUUCUCGCUUCGGAGGAGCCGUGGUCCGCGCGGGGGAAGCCGAGCCGAGCGGAGCCGCGAGAAGUGCUAGCUCGGGCCGGGAGGAGCCGCAGCCGGAGGAGGGGGAGGAGGAAGAAGAGAAGGAAGAGGAGA
rnacentral:lncRNA from 10 species